GUGCCAGCAGCCGCGGUAAUACGGAGGAUCCAAGCGUUAUCCGGAUUUAUUAGGUUUAAAGGGUGCGCAGGCGGCCCUAUAAGUCAGUGGUGAAAGUUUGCGGCUUAACCGUAAAAUUGCCAUUGAUACUGUAGGGCUUGAAUAUGGUAGAGGUAGGCGGAAUGUGUAGUGUAGCGGUGAAGUGCUUAGAGAUUACACAGAACACCGAUUGCGAAGGCAGCUUACUAUGCCAUGAUUGACGCUGAGGCACGAAAGCGUGGGUAGCGAACAGGAUUAGAUACCCUGGUAGUCCACGCCGUAAACGAUGAUUACUGGUUGUGUGCGAUAUACAGUGCGCGACUGAGGGAAACCAUUAAGUAAUCCACCUGGGGAGUACGUUCGCAAGAAUGAAACUCAAAUAAAUUGACGGG
rnacentral:rRNA from 1 species